rnacentral:lncRNA from 1 species
CGGGACCGGUUGGAGCAGGGACUCUUUAAACACGUGCGUCUGGAGGAGGUGGGAAGCUGCGGAAGGGUAUGGUGUGUGCCUCGCGCCUAAACGCGGCAGCCGCCCCUCCCGGUUCUUGCAGUUUCGCCUAUCGAAGUGGGAAGUGUGGGGACUUGGGGCGUUGCCUAGUGUUGGUUGGGGAUACAGUGCAAGCCUUGGAUCCCAAAGCUGCUUGGAUGGAUUUUACCAAACUGUAGCAUACUCAGUGCUUAGGACUGCGUUUACUGCUCUGCUCCCAGACCCUGCAAAAUUCUCCAUUAACGUCCUUCCGUUGCAUCCUCUACCCUCCCCAGCCAUCCGACCUUGGGACUAGGGAAACGUGGACUUGGUGGGCUAUUCUGCGCUGAAGAGGCAGCAACGAGGGCUCGGUGGUAUUGGUGUUGGUCCUAGUGGAAUUGUCAAGAGGAUGCUUUUGGAGGUAGACCGUUUUCUAGCUGCAAGUUACCUAACCUCUUUAAUCCUUAGUUUCCUUAUCAGAAAAACAUAAAUAAGAGUAGAGUCAAGCCAUUUCAAAGGAUUAAAAGGGAACAUAAGUAAAUAACCUAGCACUUGGUAUACAUUCAAUAAGUGGUAGGGAUUAUUAAUUGCACCCUUUCCCCCAGUGGCCCAGCAUCUUGGAAGUUCACCAUGCUUUGCAGGAGAUUCCUGACGCUGCAGUGAAAGAGGUCCAAUCAUUCCAGAUAGAACUUCAGUUUCAGACAAGUCAUCAAAUCCAGAAAGCAAGGAAAAAUACCCUGAAAGACGACUGGCAAAUCUCGGUGAAAGAGUAGACGCACCUCAUGGAUUGGAGUGAAUCUUAGAGCACCUGGUACCUUGCACACGACCUGAUGCCUGGAGGUACAGCAGCCAUCUUGUGACCAUAAGGAGGAAAUCAACGCAUUAAGAAGGGAAAAGCUAAGAACAUACAGAGAGCAAGGACCACUGACAACAUGAUCAAGCCACUCUACCAGGCCUUAACUUCCUAUUCCCUGACUUCUUAUUGAAAGAGACAAUAAAACUUCUCAUUUGUUGUAACCCACAGAAGUAAGGCAUUCUGUUACUUAUGGGUGAACACAAUUCUUAACUGAUGCCAUGGUUUAACGGGAGUAGGGAUCCUGGUAUGACAGGAAAUUGAGAUAAUCAGUUUAUGGCUAGUGUAGCAGCUCCAAGACACGAUUAAUGUCCCAAGCUCUUUUGCCCUCCUGACUUGCUAGCCUCAGUAUGUGGAUUUUGUUCUCCCAGUCUGAAGGCAUAACUUUUGGGGAAGAGUAAAAGAAGCCCUCUCCAGAGAUCUGCUACAUCUCAUUGGCCAGAACUCUAACAUUUGGCCGCCACUACCUAGUUGCAAGUGAAUCUGAGAAGGUGAGUGUUUUUUCAUUUCAGCCUUUAUGAAAUAGAAAGGCAAAGGAAGGGGGGUUUGAGCAGCCUUUGAACAGCCAGUUCAUGUUUUUGCUAUACUGCUCUAGUCAGGUUUUCUAUUACCAGCAGCCUAAUACAAUUUCCAGGUGCCCCAAGUUGUGCUGACAACUUGGUGUAUAAGAGAGACAGUGCUUUGGGGUUAGUAUGAUCAGGGAAAGUUCACUGACAAAGUGGCAACCUAAGGCAAAUUACAUCACACUUUUUCUCUGCUUGUAAGUAAGUCUGAAUGUUCCAUGUUUUCCUGACCUAUUCUU